GAUGAACGCUGGCGGCGUGCCUAAUACAUGCAAGUCGAGCGAACGGACGAGAAGCUUGCUUCUCUGAUGUUAGCGGCGGACGGGUGAGUAACACGUGGAUAACCUACCUAUAAGACUUGGAUAACUUCGGGAAACCGUAGCUAAUACCGGAUAAUAUUUUGAACCGCAUGGUUCAAAAGUGAAAGACGGUCUUGCUGUCACUUAUAGAUGGAUCCGCGCUGCAUUAGCUAGUUGGUAAGGUAACGGCUUACCAAGGCAGCGAUGCAUAGCCGACCUGAGAGGGUGAUGGGCCACACUGGAACUGAGACACGGUCCAGACUCCUACGGGAGGCAGCAGUAGGGAAUCGUCCGCAAUGGGCGAAAGCCUGACGGAGCAACGCCGCGUGAGUGAUGAAGGUCUUCGGAUCGUAAAACUCUGUUAUUAGGGAAGAACAUAUGUGUAAGGAACUGUGCACAUCUUGACGGUACCUAAUCAGAAAGCCACGGCUAACUACGUG
rnacentral:rRNA from 1 species